rnacentral:tRNA from 1 species
GGCAGUGUGGCUUAGUGGAUACAGCAUGGGUCUGGGAGUCAGAAGGACCUGGGUUCUAAUCCCGGCUCCACCA